AUCUUGUAUGAAGAAAGAAGAUUAGCAUUCUUUUGACAAGAGUAGGAGGGCCUGGACAACACACAUAUAGUUAAGACAUUGCCACCUAUUUGGUAACAUCUGAACAUGGUUUUGA
rnacentral:ncRNA from 1 species